AGAGGGUGCCGAGGGUGGAUCCCAAUCUCUUGAGGCUGUUCGCCCUUCUGACGAUGGUCGCCACUGUCCGACAGUACAAAGCCUUGGCGAGGGAGUCUCUGGUCAUGUUGGACUGCGAGAAAUGACAGAUUUCACCAGCUGUCCUCUGGCGUUGUGCGUUCUGGAAGUCAAACCCCUCAGCAAAGCUGGCGGCGGAACUCCCAGCAAAGCCGCCACUGCGCCUAGCUCGCUCUCUCCGACCACGCUGACCUCGACACCAGGUCCGUCCGUGAACCCGACGUUACCAAGUAUCAAGACUGCGGCCAGGACCCUGACCACGUCCAGAAAUGGUAUUCCAAGGACUCCUGAAGAUUUUGAUCAAAGUGUCGUUAAGAUGACGACAGUGAAUCGUGGAGAUUCAUUUUUCAUACCAUACCUCUCUCUUCGUGGGUUAGUCCAGCGAGCAUCUGGUAGAAUAUGUGAUAGUUCUUCUCGUCCGGUAGCGGCCUUAUCACCCUGGUUUGAUCUAGGAAGUAGCAGUGGAUUUUCGUCCGGUACAAGGCGCCGUCCGUCACUUGAACUUCGAUGAAGUGGCCCUUGAAAAUUGCACACAAAAUAUACCGGCGAACUUGUAGUUGCACUGUUAAUUCUGUAUUUUUUUGCCAUCAAAUUUCACACUCUUACUCACUAUUCUUGAGCUCUCGGAAUUCGUUGCCGUCUUUGCUGAUCCGAGUGACCUCAGGACUGUAAAGGCUGCUGCCAAGUGCUUGAACGCAUCUGUUUCCGGCCCGCCACCAGCUACGUCAAAAAGCUGUCUCAGGAGGAGCAUCGAUGCGUAGGUUUUGCCCGAGCCACUCGUUCCUGCAAUCACGAAUUACCAGCCACCCGAUCGUUGCAUGGUCAUCACACGGUGCAAACGCUGUUUGUUUUUGCUCCUCUUUUAACGACUCUGACAGAAUUAUUGCCUGCGGAUAACCCGUCUCUGAUUGCUGCCUAACAGCCUCUUGAACAACCCUGUUGAGCUGCGGUGCCAGAGGUAUAGUUCUGGUGCUCGUCAACGUCAACGGAUUUCCGACGUCAUGGUAUGGGUUAAUCGACACGAGGAUGGGGCCCACAUUUGUCUGAAAUUUUUCGACAAUUUUGGGAUCAUUUUCAACGAAGAGGAAGGAAACUCUACAAGCUCGAAUCGCAUCGUUGAAUCGUUUGUUCCGUUAGGACUUUUGGAACGUUGAGCGAUACUUGGGAGCAUCCGGAGUUCGAGAGCAGGAAGCGAGGCUGGAGUGACGGAAAAAGUGACGGCACGCGAGCGAGAGAUAUAAAUAUUCACCGUUCCAUUCUCACCCAGCUAUAGCUCCGAGUUUUCGUUGCAGUGGUCCUUUUGCAGGAUUGCACGGGGUGAGCUCGGUGCUUCGGACGGGAUUUACAUUUGUUCCGGGAGACUCGUGCAGAGUGUCCUGAUACGUCCUAGACGAAGUGGCAAGUAACACUCCUCUAUCCGCAGUCCGGACGAGGAAGAAAACGCGUAAACACGAACAACCGCAAAAAAGCUUAAUUAAAAUACCAAGAAUGAAGGAAUCGUGUUGCAGCCGUUAAUAAUUCCGCUACUGAGAUUUCUCACUUGCAGCUGAUGGAAUUGUGUAUCCGCUGGUUUCAAUUUAAAUUCACCCUCGACAAAUAUCCCAGGCAAACUUUAUUUCAAUCGAAUUGUCAAUUCUGUUGCUGUUUUUGUGACGUAUAAGUUCGUAAUCAAAUGUUUUUUUUUCCUUUUUUUUUUUUGUUUUUGUUUUUUUUUUGAGCUUGUAAAGAUAAUUGCGAACGAUCGUUAAACACGAAGAUGACACAACAGAUAGAAUAAAUCAUCGAUCCAACGGUUGCAUAAAUCAAAAAAUAGUAAUUCAUCUGUUCUCAGUUUUGGUUUCAUCAUUAUGUUACAUAUUACAUAUA
rnacentral:lncRNA from 1 species